GGCCCGUUCGUCUAGGGGUUAGGACAUCAGAUUUUCAUUCUGAGAACAGGGGUUCGAUUCCCCUACGGGCUA
rnacentral:tRNA from 3 species